AUACGUAGGUGGCAAGCGUUGUCCGGAUUUACUGGGUGUAAAGGGCGUGCAGCCGGGACGGCAAGUCAGAUGUGAAAUCCAUGGGCUUAACCCAUGAACUGCAUUUGAAACUGUCGUUCUUGAGUACCGGAGGGGCAAUCGGAAUUCCUAGUGUAGCGGUGAAAUGCGUAGAUAUUAGGAGGAACACCAGUGGCGAAGGCGGAUUGCUGGACGGCAACUGACGGUGAGGCGCGAAAGUGUGGGGAGCAAACAGGAUUAGAUACCCUGGUAGUCCACACUGUAAACGAUGGAUACUAGGUGUGCGGGGACUGACCCCCUGCGUGCCGGCGUUAACACAAUAAGUAUCCCACCUGGGGAGUACGAUCGCAAGGUUGAAACUCAAAGGAAUUGGCGGGG
rnacentral:rRNA from 1 species